ensembl:lncRNA
CAGAUAAUUAAAGACCAGUGCAGAUCAUUAAAGACCAGUACAGAUAAUUAAAGACCAGUACAGAUCAUUAAAGACCCUAUGUUGUGACAAUGACCUUGGAGUUCAGCAAGACAGUACAAGCAGAUCCAGAUCCAAGCUUAAAUACAUGUUCUCUAAAAGAAGCAAAUCAUUUGAAUGUCGGCAAGUUGCAUUCGCAGUCCAGGCUACUCAGCCAAGAAUACAUACAGUACCAGUCAAAAGUUUGGACACACCUACUCAUUCAAAAGGUUUUUCUUUAUUUUUACUAUUUUCUACAUUGUAGAAUAAUAGUGAAGACCUCACAACUAUGAUAUAACACAUAUGGAAUCAUGUAGUGACCAAAAAAAAAAGUGUUAAACAAAUCAAAAUAUAUUUUAUAUUUGAGAUUCUUCAAAGUAGCCACCCUUUACCUUGACGACAGCUUUACACUUCAUGGAUUGUCCUUGGCUCUGACAUGCACUGUCAACUGUGGGACAUUAUAUAGACAGGUGUGUGCUUUCCAAAUCACGUCCAAUCAAUUCAAUUUACCACAGGUGGACUCCAAUCAAGUUGUAGAAUGGAUGAUCAAGGCUGUAACGUAACAAAAUGUGGAGAGAAAAAAAUCAACGGGUCCGAAUGCACUACAUCUUCUCGACUGAGGGACCUUAGAGAUAAUUGUCUGUGUGGGGUACAGAGAAUCACGUUAAACACUAUUAUUACACACAGAGAGUGAGUCCACGCCAACUUGUUAUGUGACUUGUUGAGCACAUUUUUUACUCCUGAACUUAUCUAGGGCUUGACAUAACAAAGGAGUUGAAAACUAAAAUUGACUCAAGACAUUUCAGCUUUUCCCUUUUUAAAAAUAAAAAAUAAAUCAUUUUGUAAACAUUUCUAAAAACAUAAUUCCACUUUGACAUUAUGAUUGUGGUGUGUUAGAGGCCAGUGACACAAAAAAAUACAUCUUUAAGACAAAACGUAGAACAAGGUCAAGGGGUGUGAAUACUGUCCGAAGGCACUGCAUAUGUAACUGUCCAUAAGCUCUAUAACAGACAGCCCCCAUCCCUUUUCGUUUCAUUGUUUUACUCUGCACAGACCUUGGGGUGCACAGACACAACUAACACAAUCACUCGCUGUCUUGAUGAGAAAGUUAAAAACAAAACUAUUAUUAUAAGAAACAACGAUAAGACCGGUGAAUGAAGAAGACGACCUUUCUUUCACACAGAGGGGGGAGGGACUUCCGUGGUGGAUCGUUGGAGCGGUUUCUUUCCUGUUACCGAAUCAGAGGACGGAACGAAACGUAGAAACUAAAGAGGGAAUGGGUGAGUCUCAAAUGACCACCUAUUCCUUAUGGGGGCUCUGGUCUAAAGUAGUACCACUAUAUAGGGAAUAGGGCUCUGGUCUAAAGUAGUACCACUAUAUAGGGAAUAGGGCUCUGGUCUAAAGUAGUGGACUAUAUAGGGAAUAGGGCUCUGGUCUAAAGUAUAGCACUAUAUAGGGAAUAGGGCUCUGGUCUAAAGUAGUGCACUAUAUAGGGAAUAGGGCUCUGGUCUAAAGUAGUGCACUAUAUAGGGAAUAGGGCUCUGGUCUAAAGUAGUGCACUAUAUAGGGAAUAGGGCUCUGGUCUAAAGUAGUGCACUAUAUAGGGAAUAGGGCUCUGGUCUAAAGUAGUGCACUAUAUAUAUUCCCAGCUAGAUGUACCCUUACCAGACCAGACAGUACUCCCAAGUUCCCUUUGGAGAUCUAGGCUAUAAUUUCAUAGAUCUAUAUUUCCUAGGUAUCGGAUAGAGUCUAGAAUGAGAGUCAACAUGGGGCCAGCAUCCCUGUGGAACGCUUUAGACACCUUGUAGAGUCAACAUGGGGUCAGCAUCCCUGUGGAAGACUCUCGACACCUUGUAGAGUCAACAUGGGGCCAGCAUCCCUGUGGAACACUUUAGACACCUUGUAGAGUCCCAUAGCCCUGAUGAAUUGAGUCCCAUACCCCUGAUGAAUUGAGUCCCAUACCCCUGAUGAAUUGAGUCCCAUACCCCUGAUGAAUUGAGUCCCAUAGCCCUGAUGAAUUGAGUCCCAUACCCCUGAUGAAUUGAGUCCCAUACCCCUGAUGAAUUGAGUCCCAUACCCCUGAUGAAUUGAGUCCCAUACCCCUGAUGAAUUGAGUCCCAUACCCCUGAU